GGUCCUUCUGUUGGAGCAGGAGGGAACCGCAGCCUGGAAGGGUGGGUGUGAACCAUGAACCCAGAUGACCAAGCCAGUGGAGGUGGCACAGGCAGUCCCCAAGGAAGGGGACACGUGUGUCCCGAGGUCAGAACUGAGAAGCUCUUCAACUGCCACUGCAUGUUUCUAACUUCUAGAAACCAUCAGGAUGGAUCUAAUUUCUCAUGUGGAAACUGGGGCUCUGAGCAGCACUUUCCUUCUCACUCAGAGGAGAGAUAACCCAGCACCCUGCAGGAGCCCAGCAACCCCCAUGGCCUGUGUCCUCUGCUUCUCCUGCUUUCGGCCUGGUUGAAUGCAUCACUGAGGAUUUUCUAUUGGUUCCUGGAAUUUAGUGUGAUUGUGUCUACCAUUUGUGGUAGACUGUUGCUUGGACAGUUAUCCUGUGGCAUGUCAGAAGAGUCCUGGCGUCCAAAGAUGUGACUAGGAGCAGAAUAAUGUUUUCCAAUGCAUGGACUAAAACCCUUACGAUUUGAAAGGCAAUGGAGUUGUGAUAUUGUGACAUGUGUGUUUCUUCAUUAUGCAUUAAAUACAACGAGAUCCAGC
rnacentral:lncRNA from 1 species